rnacentral:rRNA from 1 species
UACGGGGGGGGCGAGCGUUGUUCGGAAUUACUGGGCGUAAAGGGUGCGUAGGCGGUGCCCUAAGUCGGAUGUGAAAACUCUGGGCUCAACCCAGAGCCUGCAUCCGAAACUGGAGUGCUAGAGUUCUGGAGGGGGUAGCGGAAUUCCUGGUGUAGCGGUGAAAUGCGUAGAUAUCAGGAGGAACACCGGUGGCGAAGGCGGCUACCUGGACAGAAACUGACGCUGAGGCACGAAAGCUAGGGGAGCAAACAGG